AUUGAACGCUGGCGGCAUGCCUUACACAUGCAAGUCGAACGGCAGCACGGGAGCAAUCCUGGUGGCGAGUGGCGAACGGGUGAGUAAAGUAUCGGAACGUGCCCAGUCGUGGGGGAUAACGUAGCGAAAGUUACGCUAAUACCGCAUACGAUCUAUGGAUGAAAGCGGGGGAUCGCAAGACCUCGCGCGAUUGGAGCGGCCGAUAUCAGAUUAGGUAGUUGGUGGGGUAAAGGCUCACCAAGCCGACGAUCUGUAGCUGGUCUGAGAGGACGACCAGCCACACUGGGACUGAGACACGGCCCAGACUCCUACGGGAGGCAGCAGUGGGGAAUUUUGGACAAUGGGCGAAAGCCUGAUCCAGCCAUGCCGCGUGCAGGAUGAAGGCCUUCGGGUUGUAAACUGCUUUUGUACGGAACGAAAAGGUUUGGCCUAAUAAGCUGAGCUCAUGACGGUACCGUAAGAAUAAGCACCGGCUAACUACGUGCCAGCAGCAGCCGCGGUAA
rnacentral:rRNA from 1 species